UUUGGGUUUCAUUCGAAGAAGCGCAAGCCGAACAAGGAAGCAUUCGUUGGUGCCAUUUUGAUUUUGUCGUUUGCGCGUUGUCUCGAUCGUUUUGUGUGUUUGUGUGAGACUAACGUGUGUAUUGAUAUGGAACGAAAUAAAUUCCAGUUUGAUUACCACUUGAUUCUUGUAGCUUUUGGUGAAAGGACAAAAUAUGAAGAAGCGACAGAUGCCGAAAUAAUACAAAGUGUUACCCAUACGGAUAUGGUUUGAUGACUUCAGAUGGUGGACGGAAUAAAAAGAUUGCCAGUAGCCAACGACAAUAUCCGUUUCAAUUAUCUGCAGAUCCUGAUGACGAAGAUAAAGAAUUCGUGUAUAUUGAUACAUAUUUUAAUGUAGUUAAUGAACAAUGAAUAAAUUUUUUUAACUGAUUUUGAUCUAUUCAAUACAAAUAUAACCUUGUUAUACUCUUUCAGGAAAACCUUAUACAUAUAAAUAUAAUGUUCCUCAAAAAAUAUCUUGCGAGAUCUUUGAACAAUAUUUAGCAAGGGACUUUAUGAAAUACAAAUCCUCAAAAAUUUGGUAUUACUUUGAAGAUAUAUGUUCAAAGUAAUGCUCAAUUCUUCAGGAACAUGUAUUUUAUGAAGUUAUUCAGCUACCCUGGCGAAAUAUUGUUCAGAGACUUCGCAAGAUAUUUUUUUGCAUAUUGCAGAAAUCUUUAAAGUCAGAUAACGCUG